GACCGCAUAGCUCAGUUGGAAGAGCAUUGGGCUAGUAUUCCAAAGGUCGUAGGUUCGAAUCCCACCGUGGCA
rnacentral:tRNA from 1 species